rnacentral:rRNA from 1 species
UACAGAGGGUGCAAGCGUUAAUCGGAAUUACUGGGCGUAAAGCGUGCGUAGACGGUCAUGUAAGUCGGGUGUGAAAGCCCCGGGCUCAACCUGGGAAUUGCAUUCGAGACUGCAUUGCUAGAGUAUGGGAGAGGGAAGUGGAAUUUCCGGUGUAGCGGUGAAAUGCGUAGAUAUCAGGAAGAACACCCGUGGCGAAGGCGGCUCUCUGGGACGGUACUGACGCUGAGACGCGAAAGCGUGGGGAGCGAACAGG